GAUGAACGCUAGCGACAGGCUUAACACAUGCAAGUCGAGGGGCAGCAUAGAAGUAGCAAUACUUUGGUGGCGACCGGCGCACGGGUGAGUAACGCGUAUGCAACCUACCUAUCAGAGGGGAAUAACCCGGCGAAAGUCGGACUAAUACCGCAUAAAACAGGGGCACCGCAUGGUGAUAUUUGUUAAAGAAAUUCGCUGAUAGAUGGGCAUGCGUUCCAUUAGGUAGUUGGUGAGGUAACGGCUCACCAAGCCGACGAUGGAUAGGGGAACUGAGAGGUUGGUCCCCCACACUGGUACUGAGACACGGACCAGACUCCUACGGGAGGCAGCAGUGAGGAAUAUUGCGCAAUGGGGGAAACCCUGACGCAGCGACGCCGCGUGAGCGACGAAGGCCUUCGGGUUGUAAAGCUCUGUUCUAAGGGACGAAGGACCCUCUCUGUGAAUAAUGGAGAGGGGUACGGUACCUUAGGAGAAAGCCCCGGUAACUACGUGCCAGCAGCCGCGGUAAA
rnacentral:rRNA from 1 species